UACGUAGGCAGCAAGCGUUGUUCGGAGUUACUGGGCGUAAAGAGCGUGUAGGCGGCCUGAAAGGUCAGCUGUGAAAACUCGAGGCUCAACCUCGAGACGUCGGUUGAAACCAUCUGGCUAGAGUCCGGAAGAGGAGUGUGGAAUUCCCGGUGUAGCGGUGAAAUGCGCAGAUAUCGGGAAGAACACCCGUGGCGAAGGCGGCACUCUGGGACGGUACUGACGCUGAGACGCGAAAGCGUGGGGAGCGAACAGG
rnacentral:rRNA from 1 species